AGUGGACAGCAGGGAAUGGGCAGCAGAGUAGACAGCAGGGAGCAGGCAGCAGAAGUGGACAGCAGGGAGCAGGCAGCAUAGUGGACAGCAGGGAGAGGGCAGCACAGUGGACAGCAGGGAGUGGGCAGCAGAGUGGACAGCAGGAAGCAGGCAGCAGAAGAGGACAGCAGGGAGCGGGCAGCAGAUUGGACAGCAGGGAGCGGGCAGCAGAGUGGACA